CCUACGGGGGGCAGCAGUGGGGAAUAUUGGACAAUGGGGGAAACCCUGAACCAGCGAAGCCGCGUGAGUGAAGAAGUAUUUCGGUACGUAAAGCUCUAUCAGCAGGAAAGAAAAUGACGGUACCUGACUAAGAAGCCCCGGCUAACUACGUGCCAGCAGCCGUGGUAAUACGUAGGGGGCAAGCGUUAUCCGGAUUUACUGGGUGUAAAGGGAGCGUAGUCGGCAGCGCAAGUCUGGAGUGAAAUGGCGGGGCCCAACCCCGGAACUGCACUUGAAACUGUGAAGCUGGAGUGCAGUAGAGGUGAGCGGAAUUCGUGGUGUAGCGGUGAAAUGCUUAGAUAUCAGGAGGAACACCGGCGGCGAAGGCAGCUUACUGGACUGUAACUGACGUUGAGGCUCGAAGGCGUGGGUAGCAAACAGGAUUAGAUACCCUAGUAGUC
rnacentral:rRNA from 1 species